UACGUAGGGAGCAAGCGUUGUUCGGAUUUACUGGGCGUAAAGGGUGCGUAGGCGAGUCUUUAAGUCAGGGGUGAAAUCCUGGAGCUCAACUCCAGAACUGCCUUUGAUACUGAGGAUCUUGAGUUCGGGAGAGGUGAGUGGAACUGCGAGUGUAGAGGUGAAAUUCGUAGAUAUUCGCAAGAAUCAACCAGUGGCGAAGGCGGCUCACUGGCC
rnacentral:rRNA from 1 species